UGAGAGGGCGUACGGCCACAUUGGGACUGAGACACGGCCCAAACUCCUACUGGAGGCAGCAGUGGGGAAUAUUGCACAAUGGAAGAAACUCUGAUGCUGCGACGCCGCGGAGUGAAGAAGUAUUUCGGUAUGUAAAACUCUAUCAGCAGGGAAGAUAAUGACGGACCUGACUAAGAAAGCACCGGUUAAAUACGUGCCAGCA
rnacentral:rRNA from 1 species